GGGGUAAGGGAACAGGGUUGGUAAGCUUACGCUGGGCCAAAACUCUGCUACUGUUUACAUUCAACUUCUGUUCACCAACUUUUCUCUCUGACUUAAGUAUCAGAGGGUCCCCGUCAGACAUAAAUUCCAUCUGUGCGGACACUAUUUUGCAGAUGUUCAUUCCCGACGAUAGGCGACGGGGAGUUGGCUGCAACAAGAUGAGGUCUUCCAUUAUGGUAUCUUUGUACACCCUGGAUCCCUAUCCCCAUGAGUAAGGAUGUCAGUCCCCAUGAGUAAGGAUGUCAAUGGGUACCCUAUCCGAUGGGUAUCCAUCCCUACCCAUCGGAUAGGGUCGAAAUUUUUUUUGUUUUUUAAAAAAUCCCAACAUGGGUUGGAUUAGAGUCUGGGUUUUGAAAAUCUACUACGAAUAGGGUCGGAUUAUGAAUUUACCCC
rnacentral:lncRNA from 1 species